rnacentral:rRNA from 1 species
GGAAUAUUGGACAAUGGGGGAAACCCUGAUCCAGCAAUGCCGCGUGAGUGAAGAAGGCCUUAGGGUUGUAAAGCGCUUUCGCCCGCGAAGAUAAUGACGGUAGCGGGAGAAGAAGCCCCGGCUAACUCCGUGCCAGCAGCCGCGGUAAUACGGAGGGGGCUAGCGUUGUUCGGAAUUACUGGGCGUAAAGCGCACGUAGGCGGAUGCGCAAGUUGGGGGUGAAAUCCCGGGGCUUAACCUCGGAAUUGCCCUCAAAACUGCACGUCUUGAGACCGAGAGAGGUAAGGGGAAUUCCUAGUGUAGAGGUCAAAUUCGUAGAUAUUAGGAAGAACACCAGUGGCGAAGGCGCCUUACUGGCUCGGUACUGACGCUGAGGUACGAAAGCGUGGGGAGCAAACA